rnacentral:rRNA from 1 species
GACGAACGCUGGCGGCGUGCUUAACACAUGCAAGUCGAACGGAAAGGCCCUGCUUUUGUGGGGUGCUCGAGUGGCGAACGGGUGAGUAACACGUGAGUAACCUGCCCUUGACUUUGGGAUAACUUCAGGAAACUGGGGCUAAUACCGGAUAGGAGCUCCUGCUGCAUGGUGGGGGUUGGAAAGUUUCGGCGGUUGGGGAUGGACUCGCGGCUUAUCAGCUUGUUGGUGGGGUAGUGGCUUACCAAGGCUUUGACGGGUAGCCGGCCUGAGAGGGUGACCGGCCACAUUGGGACUGAGAUACGGCCCAGACUCCUACUGGAGGCAGCAGUGGGGAAUAUUGCACAAUGGGCGGAAGCCUGAUGCAGCAACGCCGCGUGCGGGAUGACGGCCUUCGGGUUGUAAACCGCUUUCGCCUGUGACGAAGCGUGAGUGACGGUAAUGGGUAAAGAGGCACCGGCUAACUACGUG